GAGAGGGUCAGCUCCCGUCGACGGAUAUUAGGAGAUUGUCGAUGGGCUCCUGUACGCAGACCCCAAGGUCCCCGACCCCGCUUUGCUUGGGUCUCCAUUGGAGGGCAAGGUACCUGCUCUGAGCCACUCAGCUGGAUACCAGGAACAGAGAGAGUCUCCCUGCCUCAGAGGGUGCCUUCAGAAUGAGGGCAUGUACAGGAGUUCCACGACCCCACGAGGGGAAAGAAUCUCCAAGAUCUUUCCCAAAGGAGGGCACGGCACAUGUGAGCCGUGGGGCAGCGCAAUGGUGUUUGGAGAACGGCAAGAAGCUUGAGGAGAUCAGGGGAAAAGAAGGGCAAGGUCCGGGGCAGGAAAAGAAUCUGCAGAGGUGGGCAGGGGCCAAAUCACAGAAGAUACUGGGCGCUAAUCUAAGGAGUUGGAAAUCUACUCUGAAAGGUUUGUUUAUUUAAGUCAUCUCUACACCCAGCGUGGGGCUCAAACUCACGACUCCGAGAUCAAGAGGUGCACACUCUUCAGACUGAGCCAGCCGGGUGCCCCCAAUAGUAAGUCAUGAUGCUGACAGAACGCUGGACUUCCCUUGUAGUCCUCCUGUAUUUUCCCUUGAAGUUUUAAAAAAUUAUCUUUAGACAUCCUUGGGACUUGACCCUACGAUUUUUUCAAAUUAGUCUGUCCAAUUUCCUUCAAGAGUAGUUUGCUCCCUUAGCCUCCGUUCCCAUUACCAGGCAGUGGUAAUGAUCACAGGUCCAUCGCAGCAAAGCAGAGACUAAAUGUAAAGCCGUCAAUGCACUGCCUGGUGCCAAGGCCUGGAACACAGG